GGGAAUGUGGCUUAGUGGUAGAGCGCUUGCCUAGCAUGCAUGAAGCCCUGGGUUCGACUCAUCACUACCA
rfam:Dipodomys ordii contig_63717, whole genome shotgun sequence.